GGGUGGUUAGCUCAGCUGGCAGAGCAACGGACUCUUAAUCCGUGGGUCCAGGGUUCGAUC
rnacentral:tRNA from 1 species